GAUGAACGCUGGCUACAGGCUUAACACAUGCAAGUCGAGGGGAAACGGCAUUGAGUGCUUGCACUGAAUGGACGUCGACCGGCGCACGGGUGAGUAACGCGUAUCCAACCUUCCCGUUACUGCGGGAUAACCUGCCGAAAGGCAGACUAAUACCGCAUGUUCUUCGAUGACGGCAUCAGAUUCGAAGCAAAGAUCCGUCGGUAACGGAGGGGGAUGCGUCUGAUUAGCUAGUUGGCGGGGCGACGGCCCACCAAGGCGACGAUCAGUAGGGGUUCUGAGAGGAAGGUCCCCCACAUUGGAACUGAGACACGGUCCAAACUCCUACGGGAGGCAGCAGUGAGGAAUAUUGGUCAAUGGGCGGAAGCCUGAACCAGCCAAGUAGCGUGCAGGAUGACGGCCCUACGGGUUGUAAACUGCUUUUCAUGCGGGGAUAAAGUGAGGCACGCGUCCCUUUUUGCAGGUACCGCAUGAAUAAGGACCGGCUAAUUCCGUGCCAGCAGCCGCGGUAAUACGGAAGGUCCGGGCGUUAUCCGGAUUUAUUGGGUUUAAAGGGAGCGUAGGCCGGGGAUUAAGUGUGUUGUGAAAUGUAGGCGCCCAACGUCUGACUUGCAGCGCAUACUGGUUCCCUUGAGUACGCGCAACGCCGGCGGAAUUCGUCGUGUAGCGGUGAAAUGCUUAGAUAUGACGAAGAACCCCGAUUGCGAAGGCAGCCGGCGGGAGCGCAACUGACGCUGAAGCUCGAAGGUGCGGGUAUCGAACAGGAUUAGAUACCCUGGUAGUCCGCACGGUAAACGAUGGAUGCCCGCUGUCGGCGCCUUGCGCCGGCGGCCAAGCGAAAGCGUUAAGCAUCCCACCUGGGGAGUACGCCGGCAACGGUGAAACUCAAAGGAAUUGACGGGGGCCCGCACAAGCGGAGGAGCAUGUGGUUUAAUUCGAUGAUACGCGAGGAACCUUACCCGGGCUUGAAUCGCAGGAGAACGAUACAGAGAUGUUG
rnacentral:rRNA from 1 species